rnacentral:sRNA from 1 species
UGCACUAGAGUGUUGCGAUUGACGAUCC